rnacentral:lncRNA from 12 species
UGCAUCUCCGAACAUGGCGUCUGAAGAGACCAGUAAUCUAUAUAAAAGUAGUUCUCGCAAGGUGGUGGAUGACUCCCUGGAUCCUCUUUCAAAGGAAGCAGCAGAUGAUGCUAGUACACAAUUGAUAUCCUCACUGGAAAGCAGUUGUGAUGAUGUGAACUCUUUAAUUAGUCCACUCGGGAUGUUCUCUUGUAAUUCUGCCACGGUAUGAUGUAGUACUCCCUUUUGUUAUCAUAAUGUGCAGAGUGUUUAUAUUUUGUAGCAGCUUUGGAAAUUAAAAUGUUUUCUCUUUUGGUAAAAGCCAACACAUGUGCUGAAAUUGGAUGAGAUCCUGACAGAAUCCCCAGAAACUAAAGCACCUUCUCAGAGGAGAUGUAGAUGUCAGAAUCUACCAACAUCUCAAACCACAGCACAAACUGAGAUUGAGACCAACCAGACACUAUCUGUGCAGGAAACAGUCGGUCCUGAAAGCCACUCAAGCCUUGAAGACAGUGAGAGGGAAGCCCAUCCUGGGCCUGAUGGCAUGAUAUCAACAGCCAUUGUUCCAGUGUCUGAAGAUAUGAGAGAUGAGAGUCACCUGAAGUGGGAAUGUCCUCUCAGAACAGAACUCCAGAGGAAUGAGGACUCUGUUGUUGACCCUCCAGUGAGUCAGAGGCUGUUCUCUGUUGAAACAGACCAGUUUUUCUGUAUAAAUUAGUCAUUCACGUAAGUGUUUCUUCACAGGGGCACAGUACAUUCAUAAAGGAGUCUGAGGGGAACAACAAAGCUGGUUAUGAGGGUAUUUCACACAUAGUGUUGGCUGAUGCCUUCGUACUCUCAUCAGAAGAAAUGAAGGAUGUUUUUAAUAAGGAAAAAGAAAGCCCUUAUGAUAGUGAGCUCCAAAUACCUGAGGGCUUAUCUGUAUGUCUGACAGAGAGGGAGAAAUCUGUUCCUUCAGUUAUUGACCAAGAGGAAAUAAUGGCAGAUAUUUCUAAAAAUCCUGAUACUUGCAGAGAGGCAUCAUGUGUGUCAUCAUCUGCAUUUCAAGAGAAGACUAUGCCCUCUAGGAGAGGCAAGUUGCAAGUGAAGCCUAAAAUCCCCAAAACAACAUCUACUGAAGACGAUUGCUCUAGACAGAAGCUAUCUGACUUUGGGUAUAAUGAUCCAGCCACAACUCAAAUAAUUUCACCAGAACCUCUGAUUAAAGAAGAAUCCAGUAAAGUGGAACAGAGAUCCGAGCAAGAAGUUUUCUCUGAUAUUCCAAAGGAGGAAUUAGACGGAGACCCUGCUGGGAUUGCUUCAUCCUCACAACUUCAACAGCUUAUACCAUUCAGCACUGUAAAAUCAACAGCAUGCACUGAAUUGCAUCCAGUGGAACUGAAAACAGAGGGUAGGCAUGAGGAUGCGUCACAUGUGGUGUUGCCUGAUAUAUUGGUGCCGGUUUCUGCUGAAAUGGAAAAUGGUGAUCAUAUGGCGAGUGGAAGUUCUGUCCAAAGCAGUCUCCAAAUGGGUGAAGAGAGCCAGCAGGUUGUCGCUGCAGAAGCAGACCAGGAGGUGCUUUCGCAUGAGGGUGUUUCACACAUGCUGCUGACUGAUACACGUAUGUUGAUCCCCGUCUGUGAGAAAAUGGAAGAUGAUUUAAGCAAGGAACGGACAACAGCUGGAGAGAAAAGCCCUCAUGAGGAAGGAAGAUCUCAGGUGAGAGAGGAUCCAGAUACCGCAGACCUGUUCUGUCAAGUGUCACAAUCAUCAAAUGUGGGACCAUCAGUAUCACCCAAGAGGAAAAGACCCACUCGAAAGAAAAGCAAGUUAUUGGUAAAGAUGACGUUUCCCAAAAGAAAGACUGGAGAUUCCCCUAAGAGUGGCGAGCAAUCACAAACCGUUCCUCUGUCAAUCUUAAUCUCGGAGUCAACACAGUGCAGUGCUGAGACAUGUGCUCACUUCCUGCCCACUGGCUCGGAGGACCAUGAGGAAGCAUCUGGGGGAGGUUCACACAUUGUGCUGUCUGAUAUUUUGGUGCCUGUAUUGGAUGAGACCGCUGAAUGCAGCCAUCACAAAGACCCCUUAUCUGCUGGUCUUCAAGAAGUUGAGAAGUCAACAGAUAUUGAGAGACCAACAAAUACUGAAAUGGAAGAGAUGACCUCAAGUCAAUCUGUGGCAGUGGAAUGGAAAACACCUUGCUGUAGAAGAGGCACACUGCGUCCAAUGCCUAAACUGUCAAAAAGAAAAGAUGAUCCUCCAGAAAAUGACCUCGGUCAGCCUAGCUCUACACAGACCUCUUUAGCUACACCUCAGCAGUCCCUGGACCCUCAAGCUGCGGAAUGGUCUCUCAGAAGCAAUAUGCUGCCCGUGGACUCAGAUGAGAUGGAGAACUGGUGUGAAGGAGUUUCCCACAUGUUGCUGUCAGAUGCAUUUGUGCCCGUUUCUGAAGAGACUGGAGAGAACAGCACAGAGCUAAAAGUAUUUGUCUUAAGCAUUCCUCAUAAGCAUGAGCAAACCACGCUUAGUCCGACAAAGAGUGAGGAGACAACCUCUGAAAUUUCAAGUGAUGUAUGUGAUUUUAAGCAGCAUUUAGCUGCAGUUCAUAACAAUUGAUUUUAUAUGGAUAAGUCUCAUGAAGAAGUGUCUAGAUCACAUUUUAUAUAUAAAAAAAGCCUUUCUUCAAAAAUAUGUUAAAUAAUUAAAAUGAUUUAAAAAAUAAUAAAAUACAAUUAUUUAUUAAAAAAUAUAUAAAGAGGGAGUAAAAUUAACAAAAUAUUUAUUUAUUAAUUUUUGGAGUGAAAUGUGACCUGGACAGGUUUUUCGAGAUUAAUCUACUGUAUAUAAAACUUUAAACAAGGUGCAAAUGACAAUGCAAAAACCUGUUUUAUAGGUACACCACACUACUUCUGACAUGAGAAAAUCAAAUGAGAGUCUGCCAGCAUCACAAGCAAAAAAAUCACCAGCAAGAAGUUAGUCAUUCCUCAUCUCAGACUGUUAUUAAUCUUUGUCUCCAUUAUUUUUUGUAUUACUGAUUUAUUUUUUUCUGAUUUCUCUCAAAAAGGUACAUUUCAGAUGACACUAAGGUCACCUGAAAGACGCCUUAAAGAUCAACCUGGUAUGCUGAAGUCAAUCCAAGCUGCCCCGGCAGCACCUCAGCAAACUCCAACAUCAAAAGUGAAAGAGUCCAUGGGAACUCCAACAAGACAACAAACAGGAGAGAUCUCAAGUGCAUGCUGGGUACAGCUAGAAAGGUUAUCGGUAGAGGAAAUCUGCAGUGCUCAAACUGUCCUGCAACCAAAGCACCACAGCACGCCUGUCACUUUAAAACCCACUUCUAGAGGGUAAUGAUGUUUUCCAUUUCAUGCCAAUGACAUAGUAAUAAUUUUUUCAGAUUGUUGAAAUCAGAAUAUUUAGUGCCGUUCACAGUAAAAACAUCUGUUUGUAUUCUUAGGAAUGAGAUGGACAAGGCAUCUCUGGCUUUGCAUGGAAGCAGAAGCUCUGGUUUAGGAUCACCCAUGCCGCCAGGUUACUCGCCAAGGGUUUUCCUUCAUCGUAUACCAUUAAAAGCUACUGAUGAGAACAUUUCUACACAUACUUCGUCCCCAGCUAGAGUGUCCACCACACCCUCCCGAACACAGUCUCAUCAUCAG